UUUUUUUUUUUUUGAGGUAUUACAUUUUUUUCGUGAAAAUUCUUUAAGGUAUUGCUGUGCCGUCCGCCGGAGGAGAUAAAGAAAUUAAUGCCAUUCUUGGCACUUCCAUAAACUAGUAGUACUAUGUUUUUAUAUUUAGUGAUAACAAAUUAUUUUUCCACAGAUCAUGAAAUAUAAUACUUUGUAAACAAGUUAAUCUGCACGUACAUUGAACCUGAGCCGCUUCAUUUCUCAAUCCUAGUUGCCAGCUCUGAAGCAAUCCGAGCCAGCAAUCAGCAGUUACUGAAAUGAAGAAAAAAAAUGCACGUCUUUUCGUCGGAAAAAUGCAUUGUGCAUACAGCCAUACACUGAUUUUGACUUUGAUCUCGUGCUUCAUCUCUACUCAACUUCUACAAAAUAAGUCAAAUGGUGUUCUGUUGCAGGAAAGUCAAAUGGUGCUGCAAACGAAAUUAAAUGUUUUUUUCCCUUCUGAAGACAUGCUCUGCGAUUUGGUACAUGAACCUGUCAAAACCGGUAUCUGCGAGAACUGGACCGGAGGAAGAUUUUGAUCCCGAGCUUUGUUUCUAUUCAAGCCGACAAAAUAAAUCAAAUGGUGUUUUUGUUUUUGAAGGAAGUCAGAUGGUGUUGUAAACCAAAUUAAAUGGUUUUUCCUUCCCUGAAGACCUGCUCUCUGAUUUGGUACACGAACCUGUUGAAACCAGUAUAUCUGUAUGAACAUUGCUUUGUCUCCUAUUCAUUUCCCACUACAAAAAGGGCCAUGAAUCUUUAAAGGAGUGUACACAACAGCAGCACAUAAUUACUGAACUUUCCUUCUCCCCCCUUUUGACAACUAAUGGAGGCAUCUAUAUCUUAGCUUUGGCAUGGCCUGAAAGGAAAACGGCAAUAAAAAGUGGUUUGACUUCGGUCAAAGCGUGGUGGCGCGCCAAUGCUUCUGGGACCUCACGACCACGAAGGGCGCUGACUUCCAUCAUGCUACUGACUUCUUGGGAAAUUUGGAAAGAGCGAAAUGUGGGUGUGCUUGUUGCUCGAAUCAAAGAGGAAGCCUCAUGGUGGUGCCGUGCUGGGGCAAAAUAUUUGUGUAAUGUAAUGCCGCGAGAGUGAGGAUUGUAACUCGGCCGCUGGCCUCGACUCUAAAACCUUCUUCUUAUUUAAUGAAAAUGGCAAGUCUUUUGCCUUGUUUCAAAAAAAUAAAAAAUAAAAAGUGGUUCAAUUAGGGCCCUGCAUGAACUGGCUUCAACUAGGGAUCAGCUUUCAGGGGAAUAAUUCUCUUUUGCUUGUUUACUUGCAAUGGAUUGGGCCCUCCUGUCCUCCAUAUACACAAGGAGAAAUAUGCUGGUGCUGUACUGCAUUGUGUUGUGUGGACCAAAUCUUUAGCCAAUUAACCCGAUUCUCUGAUUCGAUGUACAUAUUCACCUACUGACUGAUUGAUUGAUUGAUUUUGUCUACUGAUCUUACAUGCUCCAGGUAAUUCCUCCACUUGUAAUCCUACUAGGCACCGCGAAUGCGGAUUAUUAGGAACCUUUUAAUUUGGAAUGGAACAGUUCAAUGUACAGAAGUCCUGUAAGUUGCAGAGGAGUGUAUUACAGUAGAGCUGGUUGUACGACCUGGUACUUUUGUGCAGCUUUGGUUGUUUAAUUAAGAACAAAGUAUGAUGAACUGACAAAGAAAAUAAAAUGAAGGAUCUUCAGGCCGCAAUUCCAAAGCCAGUAUAAUUUGGUUUCCGAUGUAUCUCUUGGCCGAAUGAAAAUAUUUCCUGUAUCAGGUGAGUAAUAAUAUUGAAGUGAGCUGAGGGUAGCCGAUUGUGUAGCUUUGUGGAGGUGACGUCCGCUUGAAAAGAGGCUUGCAAACAAUAGUGGGGAGGAAAAGAAGAGCCGAAAAAGGAAGGAAAGAAAGAUAUGUGUCAUCUAACAUAAACGGAAUGCAUGCUUUUCUAAAAGCGAUGGAGCGAUGAACGUCAUAACGACUUUGAUAAGAUGUUGUGAGGGGCCAUAUGAGCAUCACUGGCUAAAUCUUGAUCAUUAAGCUAACGGAGAAGAGGCUAUAAUAUUCAGGCAACAGGUAAGCUAGCUGACUUAACUGUUUUACUUGCUCUGCAACAAUCAGCAGUCAGCCAUGCAAAACAUGAUGCCCGCAGUAAUUUGUAAAUGCAUCAACGCAAGUAUUUCUAUUUUUGCAAAAAUAAGAUAAUGUUUCUAUUUUAAUAAUAACAGAGAAUUCAUCUUGAAUUGCUUGGUCUGAGUUUUUCCUGAACUUUCUAAAACAGUUUACCAUAAAUUCUAGCGAGUAAAUGGCACUGACGGUCUUAGAACUUGCGUUGCGGGUGCACUUAAGUCACACUACUUUCAAACCGGAAAAACCCAUCACAGAACUUGCGUUGCGGGUGCAUUUAAGUCACAGAGGUGAGCUGAACCGGUCGGACGCCCAGUUUUCUCUGUUUUGCGGUCAUGCGCAGGGCACGUGACACCUCCGAGGAAUGGUAUUUUUACUGAAAAGUCCGUACUGAUUUAGUUGGAGGGCCAUAUUGCAAAACCGCUAGAUGGUGAUGAUCACCGAGGAGAUGACGGAGGGUGGCAGCGCCGCCGUGGCUAGCAGGAGCACCUCUUCCUAUUUUCCCACGCGUCCACCGAGUAACCGAAGGGCGCACCACAUGUCACUGCGCCCAUCGUCAGUCGCCUUGAACACAGCCGCGCGUCCAGCUCUCCUGCAGCUACGAACAGUUGCCGCUGCCCUGCAGCUACGCGUUGUUGCUCUGCCAUGCUGCUCCAGCCUCCAGCAACCGAGCUCUGGGCACCGCUGCCAUGACGCACACGAGCUCGGCCACCGCGAUCUCCCGCACCGCCCUGAGCCAAGUCAGCCGCCCAGCUCCACGCCUCGGUUCCCUUUCACGGUGCUGUGAGCCAUCCCAUCCCCGCUGCAGUGGCUUGUGCACCUAGUCGCUGCCGGUCGGUGCUGCGUGCCGCCAUAACCAGCAGCGGCAGCAACCAUCGUCCUACCUGCCGGCUCACGUAUGGCGUGCCGAGAAAAGGCUGCCUCACAUGCAGCUCACAUCGAGAACCAGGUACGCGAGGACUAGGCGCUGCUGCAGACGACAGCAUGCCUCACCGGGUGUCUCGAACGCACCCUCACGCCAUGGCAAGGUGGGGGUGGCAGCGUCCGACUUGAGCCUCUUCGAUUCCUGGCACCUUCUUCUCCUUCGCGUGCACGGAUGGCGCCAGCGGUGGCACACAGUAGCACGGCACAGCAGCACGGCACAAUAGCACAUCCUUCCAAGAAGAUCAUGAACUCGAGCAAGCAUAUUCAAUUUGUAUUAGCUGCCAGCCACUACUGACAUCGAUGGUGUACCAUUGCAAGUUUGCAACUUACAUAUUCCAUACAGAACUCAGGUCAGAGGCUUCAGCUUUUUAUCGAGCACCUCUCGCUCGUCGCCAUCUCCCCCAGUACACCAGAGCCUUGGUGCCCCACCUGCGCCUGCCCGCCAUUGGUCGCCACGCUCUAUGGCAGCACGCGUGUCCUCUCCAUCGUCCCCUACGAGGCCGCCUACACCUUCACGCACGUAAGUCGGCCGCAUCCCAUCCGCACCUGCCGCCGCAUGCCUCCUCCUCCAAGCCGCCGACACUGACCCAACCACUACACGCGUCCUCCUCGACCACCACCACAACAACCCACCAUCCUGGGCAGGACUGCAUGCGGCUCUACAAAGACGAGGUCGGCUGCCCGCACCGCACUGCAUCUGCCUCUCUGCUCUAGGGACUCCAUCGUCGGAUUCACCAUCGUCGGCGAUGGCUGACUUGCCGUCGACGAGCUCGACGCGCCAGCAGCGCCGCCUGUCUCUUCUCCCAUCGGCAAAGAACACGAACAGACAGAGAACAAAGGAGAGGGGGCUAUGCAACAUUAGCUGAGGAUCCAGAGGUCUUUGUGCAAGAAAAUGAUGCAGCCCAGAGGCGUCACGUGCGCUGCGCGUGACCGCAAAACAGAGAACCGGGCGUCCGACCGGUUCAACUCGCCUCUGUGACUUAAAUGCACCCGCAACGCAAGUUCUGUGACGGGUUUUUCCGUUUUGCAAGUAGUGUGACUAAAGUGCACCCGCAGCGCAAAUUCUAAGACCGCCAGUGUCAUUUACUCAAUUCUAGCUGGGUUUUGUGUCCCGACACCCUCAGUAAAUGUGAAGGGAUCACGGAGUUGAUUGUUGAUUCUUUAUCCAACCGAAAUAAGGCAGUUAAAUAUUUGCAGAAUCAUGUGUUAUUUAAGUAUUUCAGAAAUGUGGAACUAGGCAGUGCAUAUUUAUGCUUACAACAAACCUUCUGUUCCAAGUUCUGACUUGACCUAUCACUAGAAACAAUAACAUCAGAAUGUCGUACGUACAUUGGACGCAUGCUUAGGCGUUUGGAAAUUAGAAUAUCGGAACAGUUUCGAGAGUUACAACAAACAUGCCGACAAGUUUUCCGUUAGUGCGUACAUGCGUAUGGUUGGUGUAGAUUGUCCCUCGAUCGCUGCCAGUCCGCUUGCUCCACUGGCGGACUACUUGCUAGCUAGCUCUGUCGCGUGAGGAGCAAGGUGAUUAGGCAAGCAGAGGAAGGCCAGUGCGCUGCCGUUGAGCCGAUGCUAUCACACCAACCAUCCGAUGCAAGUGGAGGGUUCUAUGCGCGCGCGAUUAUUUGAUCGUUUAGCUAUUGAUCACAGUUUAUUAUUGUAGUAGAUUACCAGUGUAGUGCUUGUUUGGCGCAUGACAUUUGCGUUUAAAGUUGUGCAGUAUCCGCCGAGGUGGCGUUGUUUAGUGCUGUUGAUGGCGAUUGGCAGGAGUUAGCUCGCGUUGAUCCAUCAGGUUGGUAGGCAGGCUCGUGCACCUUCAUCCAUCAGCAGCUUCUUGGUGCGUUUUCGGAUCACAGGAAUCCAAAUUUUUAGGGGUUGCCGGUAGAACACGACGAGAAGAAAUGAAAAAUGCAACUGUUUUGUUCAUAUCCAGCCGGAGUGUAAUGGAAUGCCAUCCAUCGGCACGUACGUACAUCAACCGACGCUUGAAGAGAGAGUAGGGGUUUUCAAUGGGAAGAAAUGCAUCAGCAGUUAAGAUAUUUCUGAGCUUGGUUGGUCAGCGCGUAAUGCAUAGCUUAAUCUUAACAAGCACGAGGACAGCGCUAGCAUCAGGGAAGGAGCAGGUUGUUGAUGUCGUGCUUCUGACAAUGAUCGACCUCGACCUGACAGCCAUUUGGGGACUGUAGGUUACGUACGGGGAGGCUUAUCUGUCUGUCUAUCUACCCUUGGCUGCUUGCUGUGCCACUGAGACUUCAGCACUCAACUGUUCUGAAUCUGCUUCUUAACAAACAGUUUUCCCGGACCGGAUCAAUUAUUCUCCUCAGCCAUUGCCGUCGAGAGCGCGAUAGAGCACGAGACAAAAGCCCACACACAUGGACACCAUGAUUCAGGAAGGAGGAGGUUGGGCUGCGCGCUUCAUGCACAUACACACCAUACACGAGCACGUCUACCUUCUCAUUAUAUUUUCUUACUCGGUGUCACUCGGAAUCGCGAUCUUUCGGCAUCCUGGGCAGUUGGCUGAAAACAAUGUGUACGGAGCUGUCGAUCUUGUGGCACUGACGCCCAUUAGCUGAAAGUACGAGGAGGAAGGCAGGAUGCUAAUUAUCACCGAAGAUGCUAAGCUGCUGCUAACUAACCAUGCUCUGGCAAUUCCCGGGAAAAAAAAGCUCUGGCAAUAGUGCAUUGGGGCUAAGAGCAUCUCCAACGGCGAUCCGCAAAUUUUCUCCCGCAUCCGUCCGGAGACACAGAUGCGGGAGACCGCCAUACAACGUUGCCCGCAUACAUUGCAAACACUAUCUGAACAACCGGACGAAAUUUGUGCAAACACAACCGGAUUUUCAUACAAACCGGGUGAAGUUCAUGCAAACACUGCAUAUUUUCAAUAGAUUUCAUAUAAACCUGACAGAAUUCAUUGCAUUUCGGACAUAGUUCAACUAAAAGCGGUGCCCGUUCGACUCUACAGGUAUAAUACCUAAACUAAAAGAUCGCCCGUGCCUAUACCCCAUCUCCGGCCAUGAGACCCUUGGCUGCUUGCUGUGCCACUGAAACUUCAGCACUAUCUGCUGCCUAACAAACAGUUUUCGCAACCGGAUCAAUUAUUUUCCUCGGCCAUUGCCGUCGACUGGGUGUGACGUGGCAAGGCCAGGACGAUAGAUAGAGCACGAGUCAAAAGCCCACACACCAUGAUUCAGGAAGGAGAGGUUGGGCCUGGGCUCUUCAUGCACGUACACCGUACACGCUAUACAUGAGCACAUCUACUUUCUCGUUAUAUUUUCUUACUCCUUCACCCGGAAUCGCGUUCUUCCGGCAUCUCGGGCAGUUGGCUGAAAACAAUGUGGACCGAGCUGUCCAUCUUGGCACACACCCAUUAGCUGAAAGUACAGCAUUACGGUUACGGACGAAACUAAGCUGCUAAACUAACCAAGCAGCUCUGGCAAUAAUGCAUGCAUGGGGGUUAAGGAAAGGCAUCCCACCUAAACCGUGGACUGAUUAGCGUAAAGUGGGUGAUCAUAGGGAGGAUGCAUGGUUUGGUUGGCAGGAUCGUGACCUCGUGUCGACAAUAAAAGCAAGCACGUAUGACUUUACCAGAAUGUGUAUGGUGGAAUUUCCUCAAAGGAUCGCAAGUGACGUUCGUGGGCUCUCUCCUUAUCGAAUCCGCGCUGGGGAAAGGUGAUCGCGUGCACAAAUUACUCUUUUUUAUCCUCCAAUUGGAUGUCCCGAGGUCUUAGAAAUGAUUGCUGCUAGUGGCUCUCUCUAGUACGCUUUAGUCGCUGAGGCAUCCACUCAACAAAAUGUCGACAGAGCCGAUACGUCAAACCUCCUCACUUCACGUACAUACACAUAGUGAAAUCUAGGGAAAAUGACACAAAGAGGGGAACUCGUGUACGCUUGAUGAGCUCAAAAUAUUGGAGGAAGAGAGGUUGAGAGUGAGCAAAGAACCAAGCGGAAGGUCGAGGAGUGCCAAAUCAUGUUUAUGGAUGCGAACGAAAUGAUGUAUGAAAUGGCAAAAUGAUAGUGGCAACUCACUCUCAUGGAGAGAUCUUGGCAAUCCCUUGGUUUUAUAGUGGUGGGCGAGUGGUAGUGAUUACAAUGGGAGUGCGUGAUGUAUGUUUAAUAUGGUGCCUUCUGGCUUCUGGUGAGUAUGUGAUAUGUGGUGACUGUUCAUGAACUAUAUUAAAUGCGGUCGCUUUUGGAUUCCCUAUGUUGGAAUGGUAUGUGGAUUGAAUUUUAAAAAAAUUACUUUUUGUGUUGAAUUGUUUAAAUUGUUAUAGAAACAUUUGAAUUAUCGUUGAAAGGUUCAAUUUAUUUAUAAUGGCGGAAAAAUUCAAACCAUGUGUGCAAGGACAUAAAUAAAUAUAGAAGGUAUAUGGUGUUCAGUUUAGCGGAAGAACUAUGUGCAAGAGCUUUAAACCCUCAAAUUUUAGAGAUUCAAGUCAAAAUGUGAUUAAGAGAGGUAGGUUUCAGGAAAAGAGGCAGAGAAAUAGAGAUGCUCUUAGCUCGCGGGCGGGUGCUGAGGCUGGGAACCCCACUCUGCCCUCGGUGUGGUAUGGGCGCCGAGAGGCCCUAUUCAACGCUCAGUGCCUGGAAUUGCUGGCAAACAAACAUGGCACAUGCUCUCUCUCUCUCUCUCUCUCUCUCUCUCUGUGUGUGUGUGUGUGUGUGUGUGUGUGUGUGUGUUUCACUAUCUCGUUUUUUUGUUACUCAAUGUUUUCAUUCGGUUUUCUUUUGGUUUUCCAUAGAACAUGAACAUUUCUUGAAAAAAGGGAACACUUAUUUAAGUAACAUAAACAUUUCAUAAACUAACACUUUAAAUUACAUGAACAUUCUUUAAGAAAAUACAUAAACAUAAAAAAAAUUAACAUGUAUUGCAAAAAUGUUUCCUAUGUUGAAAAUGUUUUUUUAAAUAUCAUCAUUAGCUGAAAAAUAUUUACAAAUGAUAAAAUGAUAUCAAGUUUUUAAACAUUUUUUAAUUCACAAUUUUAAAUUAUAAUCAUGUGUUCGGAAUAUUUUAAAAAUGUUAUCAAACUUUAUUAUAUUUUAAAGAAAGGGAAAAAUAAAACCAUAAAACAAAACAAAAAUAACUCAGUAUGGCUCACAAAAAACAAAAGAUAAUUGAUGGUAAUAACUUGAAGGAAAUUUUCCAGUGUGGACCGAAAAGAAAGCAAUCUAAAUAGGCAGAGCACAGCGCAACGACAGCUGUGCAUUAGGUCAACUCUUGGGGGUUCAAAUAGGAGGGAAAGCCACUGGCGAGUGACGCCUACAAUCGAACGUGCGAUGCCAUUGCCGCAUGGCAAACCCUAGUUGACGCCACAUGCGUCAUCUAGUUGGCGCGACGCCCAAAAGAAGCGAUGUGGGCCUGCCAGUUUCAUGGUUCACAACAGGCGCUCUGUUUCGUUUGCUAUAUGAAUUUUAAGUUUGCUAACCACAUGUCCCAUGCGGUACUCUGUUUCGUUUGCUUUUUUUUUGUUUGAAGAAAUGCCAUUUUUCAAAUAUUCUUCUAUGAUUUUUGAUUCGGUUUAUUGCUUAGGUUUUUCCUUUUCUAUUUUUCUCUUCUCUUUUUCCAGGUCUGGUUUUUCUUAUGUCUUCCUUCCUUUAUUAUCUUUAUAUAUUUUUUGUACUGUAAAAAAGUUUCUAAUAUGAGUGAAUAUUUUUUAAACAUACACUGGACAUUUUUUGAUAUACAUUGAACAUGUUUUCGUGACGAAAUAAAAAGGUUAGGUUAUAAAACAUAACAGGUUUGUAAGGACUAAAGUGUAAAGGGGAAAACAAAAACUGGGAAAACGACGCGGUCGCCUCUCNNNNNNNNNNNNNNNNNNNNNNNNNNNNNNNNNNNNNNNNNNNNNNNNNNNNNNNNNNNNNNNNNNNNNNNNNNNNNNNNNNNNNNNNNNNNNNNNNNNNNNNNNNNNNNNNNNNNNNNNNNNNNNNNNNNNNNNNNNNNNNNNNNNNNNNNNNNNNNNNNNNNNNNNNNNNNNNNNNNNNNNNNNNNNNNNNNNNNNNNNNNNNNNNNNNNNNNNNNNNNNNNNNNNNNNNNNNNNNNNNNNNNNNNNNNNNNNNNNNNNNNNNNNNCAAAGAUAGAGUGAAUUCACAUUUUACCUCAUGAAUGCGAUGACACUUUCUAAAUUUUUACCAAGUGCAGUCGAAAUUUCUCCAAACUACUUAUUUAAGCAACUUUGUUCUCCCCUAAAAUUUGCCCUCGGUUUUAUCUCGUUAACAAUUAUAUCAUUGUUUUGUCAAAUGCGUCUCACUAUCGGGGUUGAUCAGUGGCGCGGGAUACUGUAUCCAGGUGUGUCUAGGGCACAUCUAGAUGUGCUCUAAUUAUUGCACAUCUAAAUGAGUGAAUCAAGUAUAAAGAGAAAAAAAAUAUUCACACGAAUCUCAAUGUAAAAUCAAUGACAUAUGACUUAGAUGUGCAAUACUUAUGGCACAUCUAGAUGUGCUUUAGCAAAAUUGUACCCCUUAACUAGUGAUUUCAUUGUUCUCUUGAACCAUUUGUUGUUCAAAGAUAGAGCAAAAUUCACGUUUUACCUCCUGAAUGCGAUGACACUUUCUACAUUUUUACCAAGUGUAGUCAAAAUUUCUCCAAACUAAUUUGAGCAACUUUGCUCUCCCCUUAAAAAAAAGCAAAUUUCCCUAGGUUUUACUCCCUCCGUCCGAAAAUACUUGUCAUCAUAAUGGAUAGAAAGAGACGUAUCUACUAUCUUGUUAACAAUCAUAUCAUUGUUUUGUCAAAUGCAUCUCACUGUCUGGGCCGAACAGAGGUAAUUCCUCAGGGUGCCUGAAUAAUCCUGCUUAGCAGCAGUAGCACACUUCGUUCUCGAUAAUAAGAAACAGAAAAACAGCAUCACGCUUCCUCCUGUCGCCAGAAGCACGCCUCUGACUCUGAACCCAUGUGAGCUUCUACAUCAAUGUUGCCUGAUAGCUUGCUUGAAUCAAUAGCCACAUGCUAAAUUUACGUUGUCGCCAGAGUCAUCUAUAUUUACAGGGCUUAACUAUAAAAAUAGGCUGAUUAAAAUUGGUACAAAUAUUAUGUCAAUUUGUAAGAAAAGGCGUACACCAGCAGGUUGACGCGUGGAAGACCCAAAAUAAGCACUUCUAUAGAAAGGUGCAGCAUCAGGCGUCAAAAUGCAAGAUGGAUCAUGAACCAAUAGAGAGAAUUGAUUCAACUAUAUAUUUCUAUAAACAACUCAGGGUCGCCUGCGCAUGCAUACGCACCGUCGAUGAGACCCUCGACCAAGGCGCUCACUCUAAUUGUCCAAUCUCAAACUCGCUCCACCAAUCUCACCACCCAAUUAUCAGAAACAGGGUGUGUGCCUAGCAAGAAUACAUAAUAAUAAAUCAUGGAUACUAAUCAGGCAUGAUUUAG
rnacentral:lncRNA from 1 species